GCAGUCGAGCGAGCUGAAUUCAAAGAUUCCUUCGGGAUGAUUUGUUGGACGCUAGCGGCGGAUGGGUGAGUAACACGUGGGCAAUCUGCCCUAAAGACUGGGAUACCACUUGGAAACAGGUGCUAAUACCGGAUAACAACAUGAAUCGCAUGAUUCAAGUUUGAAAGGCGGCGUAAGCUGUCACUUUAGGAUGAGCCCGCGGCGCAUUAGCUAGUUGGUGGGGUAAAGGCCUACCAAGGCAAUGAUGCGUAGCCGAGUUGAGAGACUGAUCGGCCACAUUGGGACUGAGACACGGCCCAAACUCCUACGGGAGGCAGCAGUAGGGAAUCUUCCACAAUGGACGCAAGUCUGAUGGAGCAACGCCGCGUGAGUGAAGAAGGUUUUCGGAUCGUAAAGCUCUGUUGUUGGUGAAGAAGGAUAGAGGCAGUAACUGGUCUUUAUUUGACGGUAAUCAACCAGAAAGUCACGGCUAACUACGUGCCAGCAGCCGCGGUAAUACGUAGGUGGCAAGCGUUGUCCGGAUUUAUUGGGCGUAAAGCGAGCGCAGGCGGAAUGAUAAGUCUGAUGUGAAAGCCCACGGCUCAACCGUGGAACUGCAUCGGAAACUGUCAUUCUUGAGUGCAGAAGAGGAGAGUGGAAUUCCAUGUGUAGCGGUGGGAUGCGUAGAUAUAUGGAA
rnacentral:rRNA from 1 species